CUAUAAAUGAAAGAACUCUAACUCUUUCAUGAUACAGGUGUGAGGCUGAAGACGACCCUGCCACUGGGAAGAACAGGCACAGACGGAGUAAAAUUCUGGGCGUGGAUCAAUGCUGCUGGGUGCUGGGGAGGACAGAGUGGUUUAGGCACAGACCUGCCCUCCGGGAGCUUACAGUUGACACAGGCGAGAAGAGAGAUGAGAGAAGACUGACUAUGCUCAUUAUUCAGAGCUUUGCUUACACAGUGAUUAGGAACGAUAAGGGGACAUUUGUUUAAGAGAAGCCUAAUGUUUUCAGGUGACCCCAGGCAACAUUUACAGUUAUGACAGGUG
rnacentral:lncRNA from 1 species